GGAGGGAGCGAGCGUUGUUCGGAAUCACUGGGCGUAAAGGGCGCGUAGGCGGCCGAGUAAGUCGUGUGUGAAAGACCGGGGCUCAACUCCGUGUACUGCAUGCGAUACUGCUCGGCUAGAGAAAGGUAGAGGCGAGUGGAAUUCCCGGUGUAGCGGUGGAAUGCGUAGAUAUCGGGAAGAACACCUGUGGCGAAGGCGGCUCGCUGGGCCUUUUUCUGACGCUGAAGUGCGAAAGCGUGGGGAGCAAACAGGAUUAGAUACCCUGGUAGUCCACGCCGUAAACGAUGGGCACUAGGCGUUGGGAGGAUUGACCCUCUCAGUGCCGUAGCUAACGCGUUAAGUGCCCCCGCCUGGGGAUACGGCCGCAAGGCUG
rnacentral:rRNA from 1 species